GAUGAAGAACGCAGCGAAAUGCGAUACUUGGUGUGAAUUGCAGAAUCCCGUGAACCAUCGAGUCUUUGAACGCAAGUUGCGCCCGAAGCCAUUAGGCCGAGGGCGCGCCUGCCUGGGCGUCACACGUCGUUGCCCCCCCAUCUACUCCUUCGGGAUUGCGGGGGGCGGAUGAUGGCCUCCCGUGCGCCUCGUCGCGCGGUUGGCAUAAAUGCCAAGUCCUCGGCGACGCACGCCACGACAAUCGGUGGUUGCGAAACCUCGGUUGCCCGUCGUGUGCGGUCGUCGCGCAUCGAGGGCUCGAAAAAAUUGCCGGGCUCCGGCUCGGCUUUCAACGCGACCCCAGGUCAGGCGGGGUUACCCGCUGAAUUUAAGCAUAUCAUAAGCGGAGGA
rnacentral:misc_RNA from 1 species